GAACGCUGGCGGCGUGCCUAAUACAUGCAAGUCGAACGGUCUUUUCUAUGGAAGCUUGCUUCCACUGAGAAGAUAGUGGCGAACGGGUGGGUAACACGUGGGUAACCUGCCCAUAAGAGGGGGAUAACAUCCGGAAACGGGUGCUAAUACCGCAUAGUUUUCUUGAUCGCAUGAUUGAGAAAGGAAAGACGGCCUUUGUGCUGUCGCUUAUGGAUGGACCCGCGGCGUAUUAGUUAGUUGGUGAGGUAAUGGCUCACCAAGACGAUGAUACGUAGCCGACCUGAGAGGGUGAUCGGCCACAUUGGGACUGAGACACGGCCCAAACUCCUACGGGAGGCAGCAGUAGGGAAUCUUCCGCAAUGGACGAAAGUCUGACGGAGCAACGCCGCGUGAGUGAAGAAAGGUUUUCGGAUCGUAAAACUCUGUUGUCAGAGAAGAACAAGUUGGAGAGUAACUGCUCCAGCCUUGACGGUAUCUGACCAGAAAGCCACGGCUAACUACGUGCCAGCAGCGGC
rnacentral:rRNA from 1 species